rnacentral:rRNA from 1 species
GGUAGUCCACGCCGUAAACGAUGGGCACUAGGUGUGGGAGGUGUCGACUCCUCCCGUGCCGAAGCUAACGCAUUAAGUGCCCCGCCUGGGGAGUACGGCCACAAGGCUAAAACUCAAAGGAAUUGACGGGGCCCGCACAAGCAGCGGAGCAUGUGGUUUAAUUCGACGCAACGCGAAGAACCUUACCUGGGCUUGACAUGUUCCUGACCGCCGUGGAAACACGGCUUCCCUUCGGGGGCAGGAUCACAGGUGGUGCAUGGCUGUCGUCAGCUCGUGUCGUGAGAUGUUGGGUUAAG